rnacentral:rRNA from 1 species
AACGAACGCUGGCGGCGUGCCUAACACAUGCAAGUCGAACGAGAAAGGUCCCUUCGGGGGCCCGGUAAAGUGGCGCACGGGUGAGUAACACGUGGGUAAUCUGCCCUCGAGUGGGGAACAACCCAGGGAAACUUGGGCUAAUACCGCAUAACAUCCCGACCUCUCUGGGGGACGGGAUCAAAGCCGGGGAUCGCAAGACCUGGCGCUUGAGGAGGAGCCUGCGUCUGAUUAGCUUGUUGGUGGGGUAACGGCCUACCAAGGCGACGAUCAGUAGCCGGCCUGAGAGGGUGAUCGGCCACACUGGAACUGAGACACGGUCCAGACUCCUACGGGAGGCAGCAGUGAGGAAUUUUGCGCAAUGGGGGAAACCCUGACGCAGCAACGCCGCGUGGAUGAUGAAGGCCUUCGGGUCGUAAAAUCCUGUCAAGUGGGAAGAAGACCCCGCCGUGAAUAGCGGUUGGGGGUUGACUGUACCACUGGAGGAAGCCCCGGCUAACUCCGUGCCAGCAGCCGCGGUAAUACGGAGGGGGCGAGCGUUGUUCGGAAUUAUUGGGCGUAAAGGGCGCGUAGGCGGCCUCGUAAGUCGGUUGUGAAAUCCCUUGGCUUAACCAA